UAAUACGGGGGGUGCGAGCGUUGUCCGGAAUCACUGGGCGUAAAGGGCGCGUAGGUGGUUUGAUAAGGCUGUGGUGAAAGCCCGGGGCUCAACCCCGGGUCUGCCGUGGCGACUGUCAGACUGGAGGGCUCGAGAGGCAGACGGAAUUCCGGGUGUAGCGGUGGAAUGCGUAGAGAUCCGGAAGAAGACCGGUGGCGAAGGCGGUCUGCUGGCGAGUACCUGACACUGAGGCGCGACAGCGUGGGGAGCAAACAGGAUUAGAUACCCUGGUAGUCCACGCCGUAAACGAUGGGCACUAGGCGCUUGGGGGAGCGACCCUCUGAGGGCCGGCGCUAACGCAUGAAGUGCCCCGCCUGGGGAGUACGGCCGCAAGGCUG
rnacentral:rRNA from 1 species